CUGAUUGGCAUGUCUAAAGUGUCCGUAGUACAUGAGUGAUUGUGCCCUGCAAUGGACUUUCACCCUGUCCAGGGUGUACCCCGCCUUGUGCCCGAUGCUUCCUGGGAUAGGCUCCAGGUUCCCCUGUGACCCUGAAAAGGAUAGUCAUCAUGCUGGGUUCCUGGCUUCUGGUGG